AUGGGCAGCUUCGCCGUGCAAUCCCAGCUCUUAGUCCUGGAAAUUGCGCGUACUCAUGGGAGGGCUCGGAGGCGUGAUGGCCUUCUCGGGCGCCCCGCCCACCCCGGGCAGCUUGUGGCGCAUGCGCGGGUGGGCAAGAGCGUUGUGCAGGGUCAGCGCGGAGCCGGAGCAGCCGCUGUGAAGCGCUUGGGCUCCGUCGAGACCGCCGUGCCCGCUCCUUGCCGCCUCAGCCGCCGCCGCCGCUGGAGGAGCGGCCGCCUAUUGUCUUUCACCGCGGCGAAGGUGUGGAGCGGCUCCGGCUCGGCCCUCGGGGGUGCCCCGGGAGCCGAAAGUGUCCUGGGUCAUGAAACUUAAUCCACAACAAGCUCCAUUAUACGACUGGAAUCAGGCCCUGAAGAAUAAGGACUGUUUAGUUGGUUUAGAAGAAAGACAGACGGCAGGCUGAUGGGAGACAGAGAGCAUGGUGUUGGCUGAGUGGUGAGGAUGGGCACUGGGCUGUGGACACUCUGCCUGGCUGGAGUUGAGUUGGAAAUCAUGGGAGGUGGUAAACCUGUGACAGCUGAUGCUCAGUUCUGAAGGAAGACAGGUAUUGCUUUAUGACCACAGAUGAGCAAUUGAUAGUUAAAGCUGCUGUUCAUUUUAUAAUAUGUAUUUAUUUUUAACUAUGCUGUGUUAAUAAUUAUCUUUCCAACAUGGGACAUAUGUAGAAUUCGUUGGCACAGUUGAUUUUUUUGUUAAAUGUAAUCUACAAAGAAAAAAAAUGUGUUCUUAGAUAGUAAUUUAUGUACUUAUUUGCUGUCUAGACUACUUGGAGAUGAGUUUUGUUCACUAGUAGGCAUGUAUGUGAAUUGAGCACCUUAGAUUUUUCUAAAUACCUUUAUUGACAUAUAAUUCAUACAAAGUAUAAUAUGGUGUGUCUAAAUUUAAAAAAUUUUAUUACAGUACAAGACACCUUGCCAUUAAUUCCCCUCAAAAUUCUCCCCCUCAUUUGAAAUACACUUAACCCAUUGUUCUUGGCACUUUCUGAAGCAGAUCUGGAAUUCCUGUUUUGUGAGUUUCUUUAGUUGUCUAAAUCAGUUGAAAGCAUUUUUCUUUCUUAGACAUUUUGAUUGGGGAAGAGCCAGAAGUUGUAUGGUGCCAGAUGCAGUAAAUAAGGUGGAUAAGGACAGAUAUACCACGUUUUUACAAGCCUGCCUUUCCAUUGGAUGGCACUCAGCAGUUUUUUUGAUCCUAUCUUGCAGACAGUCACAAAAGCAGACUUUCAGAACUGCUUCAGAAAGUAAUAAGAAUGAUGGAAUAUUUUUGAAGUGAGGGUGAAUAUUUUGAAGGGAGUUAGUGGCAAUGUGUUCCAUAGUAUUGCUUUUAAAUUAAACAUUCACCAUAAUUUUUAGUCACCCCUUGUAUAUCAUUAAUUUUUUCUUUAAAGUGUACGAUUAAUUCAGCCAGGCAUGGUGCCAUCUGUCCCUAAUCCCAGCAUUCUGGGAGCCUGAGGCAUGACACUUAAAUUUAAGCCCAGCCCAGGGAAACUUAACAAUUUAGUGAGACCCUGUUUCAGAAAAGGGCUGGGGAUGUAGCUCAGUGAGAAGAUUCUGGGUUUAGAUUAUCCUGAAUUACAAUCCCAUAAUCCCACUGUAAUCACAGGAAUCUUUGUAAGCAAGAGAAGGUAUAAGGGCUCUGAGCAAAGGAUAAUAUCCCCUUAGAGAUUGGACAAAGCAGAUGAACACUUUCUCUCUCCAGAGCCUCUGGGAGGAAUAUAUUCUUGCUGAUACCUUGAUUUUAGUGUAGAAUGUCAUUUUAGACUUCUGAAAUCCAGAAUUGUACAAAAAUAAAUUUGUGCUCAUUUUAAGCCAUUAACUUUGUGGUAAUCUGUGGUAACAGUAUUAUGAAACUAAUGCAGUAAUAGUUUGGGAAAAUUUAUUGAUGGUAGUGUGAAGGCUAAUUAGGAGAAGGAGAAGAUAGCGGCAAAAAGAUCAGAAGCCUUCUCAUCUUGCAGUCAUAGAGUCUUGAGAACUAGAGUUAAUAAAGACCUGCAAUAUGUGUUUCAAUUGUUUUGUCUUAGAGAUGAGAGUCUGAGGUCUGAGUAUGUUGUGAUAAAGUGGCACAGCUCUUUGGUAAUAAAACUGAUUUGAGCCUAUGUUAUCUGUAUUUGGUCAUAGAAACCAUUC
rnacentral:lncRNA from 1 species